rnacentral:rRNA from 1 species
AUUGAACGCUGGCGGCAUGCCUAACACAUGCAAGUCGAACGAGUGGCGGACGGGUGAGUAAUGUCUGGGACACUGCCCGAUGGAGGGGGAUAACUACUGGAAACGGUAGCUAAUACCGCAUACCAUCGGAUGUGCCCAGAUGGGAUUAGCUAGUAGGUGGGGUAUCGGCUCACCUAGGCGCCGAUCCCUAGCUGGUCUGAGAGGAUGACCGGCCACACUGGAACUGAGACACGGUCCAGACUCCUACGUGAGGCAGCAGUGGGGAAUAUUGCACAAUGGGCGCAAGCCUGAUGCAGCAACGCCGCGUGUAUGAAGAAGGCCUUCGGGUUGUAAAGUACUUUCAGCGGGGAGGCGGUACUCGCAGAAGAAGCACCGGCUAACUACGUGCCAGCAGCCGCGGUAAUAC